GGUGUAGGCGGCCUUUCAAGUCGGAUGUUAAAUCUCCUGGCCUAACUAGGAGGGUGCAUCCGAUACUGUUGGGCUGGAGUGCAGUAGAGGAAAGCGGAAUUCCCGGUGUAGUGGUGAAAUACGUAGAUAUCGGGAGGAACACCAGUGGCGAAGGCGGCUUUCUGGGCUGUUACUGACGCUGAGGCCCGAAGGCGUGGGGAGCAAACAGGAUUAGAUACCCUGGUAGUCCACGCAGUAAACGAUGGAUACUAGGUAUGGGGAGUAUCGACCCUCCCUGUGCCGAAGUUAACGCUUUAAGUAUCCCGCCUGGGGACUACGGUCGCAAGACUAAA
rnacentral:rRNA from 1 species